GCGCGGGUGGUGAAACUGGUAUACACGUAGUCUUGAGGAGGCUAUGCCGUAAGGCGUGCAGGUUCAAGUCCUGUCCCGCGCACUA
rnacentral:tRNA from 1 species